GGAAACUGGACUGUAACUGUGGACAGCAGCACUGACCCAUUGUCUUCUGAUGGUAUUUCAGUACGCUCCUCAUUCACAUCUUUGGUUACCUGAGUGUCUUCUGACAUCUCUUAUUUUUCCGCUAAGGCACUGCUAGGACGCCGGACAGGGAAUCUGAAGCAGUGAGGGAUCCAGGAGCAGCCCAGCUACUGCUUGGCUCUCACAAAAUGGUCCCCUUGUAACUCUUUAUAGGAGAGGAGAAAACACUGCCACCACCACCAUUUCAUAAUCUUGCACUAAUGUGGAGACAACAACCACCCACCCUGAAAAGGAAACUCUGGCAGGGUAUGUGUAUAGUAUCUACAGUGUUGAUCAACUAUUCUGGACCAAUAAGUGAUGUACUUUUGACUGUUUCACAGCUGAAGAAGCAGGCAUCUCUUAAGACCCCAUUCCUCUUGAUGGAAGAGAUCAGGAUUUGCUCAUCUUUGUACUUUCCCAAAAAUGUCAUCAGUCCUUGGAGGUUGUCAGUCUUCAAUUAGUAAUAAAUUCAAAUGUACAAAAUCA
rnacentral:lncRNA from 1 species